rnacentral:rRNA from 1 species
UACGAAGGGUGCAAGCGUUAAUCGGAAUUACUGGGCGUAAAGCGCGCGUAGGUGGUUCAGUAAGUUGGAAGUGAAAUCCCCGGGCUCAACCUGGGAACUGCUUUCAAAACUGCUGAGCUAGAGUACGGUAGAGGGUGGUGGAAUUUCCUGUGUAGCGGUGAAAUGCGUAGAUAUAGGAAGGAACACCAGUGGCGAAGGCGACCACCUGGACUGAUACUGACACUGAGGUGCGAUAGCAUGGGGAGCAAACAGG